CGAAGCAACGCGAAGAACCUUACCGAGGGCUUGACAUCCCUUGAAGCAGCUAGAGAUAGCUGUGUCCUUCGGGACAAGGAGACAGGUGGUGCAUGGUUGUCGUCAGCUCGUGUCGUGAGAUGUUGGGUUAAGUCCCGCAACGAGCGCAACCCCUAUUGUUAGUUGCCACCAUUCAGUUGGGCACUCUAGCGAGACUGCCGGUAAUAAACCGGAGGAAGUGGGGAUGACGUCAAAUCAUCAUGCCCCUUAUGACCUGGGCUACACACGUGCUACAAUGGUUGGUACAACGAGUUGCGAGUCGGUGACGGCGAGCUAAUCUCUUAAAGCCAAUCUCAGUUCGGAUUGUAGGCUGCAACUCGCCUACAUGAAGUCGGAAUCGCUAGUAAUCGCGGAUCAGCACGCCGCGGUGAAUACGUUCCCGGGCCUU
rnacentral:rRNA from 1 species